rnacentral:rRNA from 1 species
UUGAUCCUGGCUCAGAAUCAACGCUGGCGGCGUGCCUAACACAUGCAAGUCGAACGCGAAAGUCCCGCAAGGGAUCAGUAGAGUGGCAAACGGGUGAGUUACACGUGGGUGACCUGCCUUCGAGUGGGGGAUAACGUCCCGAAAGGGACUCUAAUACCGCAUGACAUCCUGCUCUUGAACGAGUGGAGAUCAAAGCUGGUGAUCGCAAGACCUAGCGCUCAAAGAGGGGCCCGCGCCUGAUUAGCUAGUUGGUGGGGUAACGGCUCACCAAGGCGACGAUCAGUAUCCGGCCUGAGAGGUCGGACGGACACACUGGGACUGAGACGCGGCCCAGACUCCUACGGGAGGCUGCAGUGGGGAAUUGUUCGCAAUGGGCGCAAGCCUGACGACGCAACGCCGUGUGGAGGAUGAAGGUCUUCGGAUUGUAAACUCCUGUUGCUCGGGACGAAUAGCUUCGACCUAACACGUCGAAGUCUGACGGUACCGGGUGAGGAAGCCCUGGCUAACUCUGUGCCAGCAGCCGCGGUAAUAAGGU